rnacentral:rRNA from 1 species
GAUGAACGCUGGCGGCGUGCCUAAUACAUGCAAGUCGAGCGAACAGACGAGGAGCUUGCUCCUCUGACGUUAGCGGCGGACGGGUGAGUAACACGUGGAUAACCUACCUAUAAGACUGGGAUAACUUCGGGAAACCGGAGCUAAUACCGGAUAAUAUAUUGAACCGCAUGGUUCAAUAGUGAAAUACGGUUUUGCUGUCACUUAUAGAUGGAUCCGCGCCGCAUUAGCUAGUUGGUAAGGUAACGGCUUACCAAGGCAACGAUGCGUAGCCGACCUGAGAGGGUGAUCGGCCACACUGGAACUGAGACACGGUCAAGACUCCUACGGGAGGCAGCAGUAGGGAAUCUUCCGCAAUGGGCGAAAGCCUGACGGAGCAACGCCGCGUGAGUGAUGAAGGUCUUCGGAUCGUAAAACUCUGUUAUUAGGGAAGAACAAAUGUGUAAGUAACUAUGCACGUCUUGACGGUACCUAACCAGAAAGCCACGGCUAACUACGUG